UCCCCGCGCCGUCGCCCUCCCCUGCCGGGCCAGCACUCCGCUCCGCACCCUCAAUCUCCCGCCGCGUGCCCGUGGAGUUUCAUUCCCGCGCGUGGGGCCGGGUGCUGAACUCUGAACUGCCACGACUGCAGAGUCGCCGCCACCUGCGGUCACUCGGGCUCGGACGGCGUGGGACGAGACCCCCCCCCCCGCCCUCUUCUCGCUGAAGCCCCGCGAGGGAUGGGGCUGCGGCCUCCCUGUGGCCUUCCUGGCUUUCUGGUGCUGAGACCCUCGACACAUUAAAAUGCUGAAGGGGCAUUCUUUUAGUAAGGCAUUGCUGAUCUGCACCCUCCUAACUAUAGCUACAGAUGCUGUCGGACCUCUUCCUUCUCCAGUCCAGCCCUUACCCACCCUUACUUUCCUUCCUCUGCCUUCAGCUUCAAGGAGAAAUCGAAGGAGUACAGAUAUGGAAAGCCCACUUACAAAAAAAAAACCCAGCCCUUUUCAAUACUAAGGUCCUGUGCUUCAUCAGGUUCUCCACUGAGCUACUUCUCCCCAACCUGGAAUCAGUCUUAACUGAAGCUUUCCACACUGCUGAUUGUUCCUUGCAUUCUGACACCCUCACAAGUACCUACUUCUGUAUGUCCUGCCGCCAUUAUCUCUAACU